CUAGGGAGCAGGUGCACCAGAGGGAGGCAGCACGGCCAGGACAGCUGACCCAAACUGGCCAAAGGGAUAUUCCACACCACAGAACAUCCUGCCCAGUAAAUAAACUGGGGGGAGCUCCCCCAGAGCACUGAUCACUACUCGCAGAAGUGAGAGGAUUGAGUAAAGACUGCACGGUACUGAGUUGCCAGCUGGGGUUGAACCAUGACACCAGUUUAAAAAGACACAGCUGGAUGCUCUCUGAUGGCUUCUCUGUCAGGAAGGGAUUCUGAUAUCAGAACCAAACUUCUCCUGGGGUGCUCAUAAAUCUACUGCUCAGUCAUUAAUCCAUGCCCCGUCGAUCAGACAGGAAAUGCCACUAUGGCAGGCUCCAGAUCCUGGCACACAGUCUGUGAAGUUCCCAUUUUCUGCAAUUUUUUUUCCCUGAACUCUGCACUCUUCAGAGGAGGCACCUAACCUUCGCAACAGCCUGCAGGGUGUCAGGGUUUCACGAUGAGCAGAGUGUUGUUAGCAGCUGCCUGCACCCAUCCUCUCCACUGUGCCACACAGGCUCAGCACUCUUGCUGACACGACAGUGAGGACCCAGCUGCCCGAGUGGUGUGUGGUAAACUGCACCUUCACACUCCUGCUCGAGUUUCUCCUUCACAGUGCAACCCUCCCAAUCCAACAGUUUGCAUGUACAUGCCCCAGUGCCUGGGGAAGGGGCGGCUGCAAGGCUUGGAAACCGACUUGUGUGAAAAGACUUGUGACAGAAGUGUGCAGAGACACCCAGCAGAGCUGAUACUGCACUUCACACGUUACCUGAGGCUGAUGCAAGCAAAAGUCUGGAUGUGGCUGCCAGGCACCUCCCCCCAUGCCCCUCCACCAUCUAAUCUGGACACAAACAGUGCAGCAGUCGCCAGGCAAUGGGGCCCAGCAUCCCAAACCAGCUCCAGAGACCAUAGGCAGCUCCAGGGCAGGAUGCUGAGACUGUCAGGGUGAAGAGCAACUCCUCCCUCACCCCUCCAGCUACAGCCAAGCAGCUCUGUAUGUGCCAGACGAGAAUCAUUCCCUGUCCUCGACACAGCAGCUCUGGAUAGCCUCAGUGUAGCUGUAUAAACAUUAUUAUUAAUUUAAUCCUAAUGAGUUUUGGCUUCAAUGCCUCAUGGCAGAGACUUCCAUGUACUGAGAAUAGCCAGUUAUUAAAUGAUUCCUAAAGGAGGAAGUACAACAUUUAUGAGGCUGAUACUAACAUUAGAAUUUCCUCCCUUGCAUACUUUGCUACAUUUUUGCCUUCAUUAAAAAAAUGAAAUAAAGACACCAUUUGAAUCAUAACACUGA